UCCAGUUUGUGUCAGAGUGCGCUCCCACACUCAGAGUGAGUGUUUCUGAACGCACCACUCACAUCAUCUUCCUCCAUCGUCUAAAACAAGACAACACAACUUGUUAGCUAGCGCUAGCUAACGUCUGUGGAGAACUGUUUUGCCUCCAGCUAAGCCCCGCCCACCAACAAACAUGUCAUGCUAACAGUCAGAGGGUCUGAUCAGUGUUGGACGUGUCCCUUCAUGUUAUCAUGACAACAGUUUACAGACAUGUUCCAUCAGGUCUCACCAGGAUUUCUCUCUCUGUCUCUGUGAAUCCUGUCAGUGUCCCUCAGCAGUUAGAAAUGACUCCUGUGUUUAUGAACUGACAAAAAAGGACAAUGUCUAAAAUGUAUAAUUAAUUUUGUCUCUCUGUCUCUGUGUCUGUCCCUCAGAGGUUGCCUCAGCAGAUUCAGGAGAGAAAUGAGAAGCUGAAGGAGGAAAUGAUCAGUAAACUGAAGGACCUGGGGAACAUGGUCCUUAGGCCAUUCGGACUUUCCACCAACAACUUCCAGGUGAACCAGGAUGCCGACACCGGCUCCUACUCCAUCAACUUUGUCCAGAACCCAAACAACAACAGAUGACAUCACAAGCAGCAGUGAUGACAUCACAGCAUCAUGUCACAUGACCCUGCCUGUGUGUGUUCAGAGGAAAAUAAAACCUGAUUCAUUUGUUUCCUGUUUGCGUCGGCUGUCUCUGGGUUUAACUCUGGUAUCCGUGGUAGCCAGUGCUGCAGGUUAGCAGUCCGACUGCUGACCAAUCAGAUCACUGGAAACACAGUGACAUCACACCCUGACAGGGACAGCAGAUGUGUUGUACUGAAGCUGUUUAAAUAAAGUUUUAUUGUUUAAACUCUGA